rnacentral:rRNA from 1 species
GAUGAACGCUGGCGGCGUGCCUAAUACAUGCAAGUCGAGCGAACGGACGAGAAGCUUGCUUCUCUGAUGUUAGCGGCGGACGGGUGAGUAACACGUGGAUAACCUACCUAUAAGACUGGGAUAACUUCGGGAAACCGGAGCUAAUACCGGAUGAUAUUUUGAACCGCAUGGUUCAAAAGUGAAAGACGGUCUUGCUGUCACUUAUAGAUGGAUCCGCGCUGCAUUAGCUAGUUGGUAAGGAAACGGCUUACCAAGGCAACGAUGCAUAGCCGACCUGAGAGGGUGAUCGGCCACACUGGAACUGAGACACGGUCCAGACUCCUACGGGAGGCAGCAGUAGGGAAUCUUCCGCAAAGGGCGAAAGCCUGACGGAGCAACGCCGCGUGAGUGAUGAAGGUCUUCGGAUCGUAAAACUCUGUUAUUAGGGAAGAACAUAUGUGUAAGUAACUGUGCACAUCUUGACGGUACCUAAUCAGAAAGCCACGGCUAACUACGUG